AUGACAUUCUAUAUAGAUAGAUCAUUGGAGCUAACUGACUCUUGCCGUAUCCGGUCGGCAAAACAGCAAAUUUCAGCGCUGUCUUCUGUUCCUCUUUUAGAUAAAAACCCAAGUCUAAAUCGUUCAUUAUCAUUCUAUAUAGAUCUUUCAGAUUUAGGUCUGGAUUUCCAUGCUACUAUGAUGUUGCCAAUGCGUCAAAAAAUAUUUUGACGCAUUGGCAAAUGCGCCGAUGAUCCAAUGCCCCCCCAGUAGAUCUGCUCUGACGCCGAUUCUGCCGUGGCCUGAAGGCAUAUUACAUGAAAUGAUAAAACAAACCAGCACUAAUCUAAUUUCUGCAAAAUUAUAUUCUGUUGUUUUUUCAUGACACUUUAAAGUGAAAUGUCCUGUGGGUGACGCUAAAAUAUUGAUGCUCUGUUGUGUUGAAAAAUAACAAAUCACGUCACACUAAACUAAUUAUAGUGUUAACAAAAUCUAACGUGACAUCAGAACACAUUUGCUGAAGCACCCAUGGCCAAAAUAGUUUUUACGAGCCUUUGAGCACUGUGUUUCACGGGACUUGUACCUGCAAUGUUCUGCCAGGUGCGCUACAGAGCAUGUUUACUACAGCAGAAAAACCAAACAUAUGGAGCUAGUUAUGUAAUGCAAACCUCAUCCGACUGAGACCCCGCACAUAAAAUUCAGUAAAAUCAUCAACAUCCAACGAUGCACUAUUUGUCUUCAGUCCUGAUGUUUCACUGACCCCAAUCACACUGAUGCGGUCAACCAGAAUAAUCUGCUAUCUGACCCUGAGACCCGCUUUAGAGACACCACUAAACAAGCCAACAGACUGAACACAGAGAAAACAUAAUGGAGACAAACACAUACAGCACACAUUUAACACUAAACAAACAUGGAGCUACCCUUCUUAUUAUCUGAACACGAGGACUUUCUGUCAUAAAGGACCCUCACAUUUAACAUUAAACAGAAAGAGUGAGAGAGAGACCUCUGUUUAACAGCUGAUAGGGCUGAAAUCACC
ensembl:lncRNA